rnacentral:rRNA from 1 species
GAUGAACGCUGGCGGCGUGCCUAAUACAUGCAAGUCGAGCGAACGGACGAGAAGCUUGCUUCUCUGAUGUUAGCGGCGGACGGGUGAGUAACACGUGGAUAACCUACCUAUAAGACUGGGAUAACUUCGGGACACCGGAGCUAAUACCGGAUAAUAUUUUGAACCGCAUGGUUCAAAAGUGAAAGACGGUCUUGCUGUCACUUAUCGAUGGAUCCGCGCUGCAUUAGCUAGUUGGUAAGGUAACGGCUUACCAAGGCAACGAUGCAUAGCCGACCUGAGAGGGGGAUAGGCGACACGGGAAGGGAGACACGGUCCAGACGCCUACGGGAGGCAGCAGUAGGGAAUCUUACGCAAUGGGCGAAAGCCUGACGGAGCAACGCCGCGUGAGUGAUGAAGGCCUUCGGAGCGUAAAACCCUGUUAUUAGGGAAGAACAUAUGUGUAAGUAACUGUGCACAGCGUGACGGUACCUAAUCAGAAAGCCACGGCUAACUACGUG